UAAGUUGUAAUAUGUUGUGUCUAUGUUGUCAAUACUUAUUAUAUUAUGACUUCACAGACGUGUAGAUAAAGUAGACACACCCGUUGACCAAUCAAA